UCCUCCUCUCCGCUUUUCCUGUGCUUGGUAGGAACCUGUAGCUGCUCCUAGAGCCUGGGAGGCUCUUUGUGUAGAAACUGUACCCCUCCUGUCGCUGGCAGUGCUGAAAAUAGAGAAGAUUAGGGAAGAAGACCGCAGCCCCCCACCCACCUCGCCACCCCCACUUUUCUCGGUCAUUCCCGGAGGCUUCAUCAAGCAACUUGUGCGGGAAACAGAAAAGGAGUCCAAAGAAGCAAAAUUAAAAGAGAAAUUAAUUUCCAAAGAAGAUCCUCCAGGAAAGCAGGUUGACGGGCCCGUGCAGCAGUUUGUAAUCAGGGACACCAACAUUUUGGAAGUGGGAGAGGACAUGGCCAACAAGGGACAGCUGCUGCAAGGACGAUUGAAUGGUGAGAAGCAUGGAGUGGAAGGUGAGUCUGAGAUUCCAGAAAGGAAGCCUUUGCCUUUCAAGAGAACUGCCCAGAGGGGCCACACCCAGCAACCAGUACUGCCUGUGCCUGAAUUAGCACCGGCCACUCCAAAAUCAGCACCAGCAGUUCCAACACUGGGCGAGGAGGUCCACUUGGAUGCAUCUCAGCCUCCUAAAGUUCCUGCAGCUCCAGAUCAAAUCAAAAGCAGCAGUGCUAAGGAUCUACCUGGGUCUGGAACAGAACACGAAAAGAAGGGCCAUUUACUCUGGAACAAACACUUUGAAAGCCCAGGAAAGGAGAAUUGGAAAAUGAGGACCAAGGAAGAGGCUGUGAGCAAGCCAGGAAAUAAGGCAAAAUUUACAGGGAAGGGGAAAAAGCUUGGAGAAAAUAAAGAAAAGGCCACAGACAGUGGGAAGCAGCCAGGAGAACCCAAAGAGAGGCAUGUAGAAACCGAGAAAGUAUUAGCAGAAUUGAAGGUGGAACAGGGAGAAAUGGAAGAGGAACUGUCUCGGAAGGGAGGAAAAAGAAAGCAAGAAUCCCCAGUAGCAGAAAUGAAGGAGAAACCAGAGGAAAUUAAGGAAGUGUUGGCAGGAGAAAACAAAGAAGAACUUGGAGAAAGCACAGAUUCGGACAAGGUGUACCAUGAUGUCUGGUAUGAAACAGAGAAAGUUUGGCUGUUACAAAAAGAUGGAUUCACUCUUGCUACUGAACUGAAGCCAGAUGAGGGCACUCCUGAGCUGCCUCCAGGGACAGUCCGAGUCCGAGUGGAAGCUGAUGGCUCGAUCAUGGAGGUGGAUGAAGAAAAGGUCCAGAGAACCAAUCCUUCAAAAUUUGACUACGCCGAAGACUUGGCCUCCCUAGUCAGCCUGAAUGAGUCAAGCGUCAUCCACACUCUGUGCCGCCGGUACCAGUCUCAGCUGCUUUACACCCACAGUGGUCCUGAUCUGAUCGCCAUCGAACCACCGUCUUCUGUUUCCACUUGUUCAGUAAAGGCAUUCAAGGGCAAGCGGGAUGGACUGUCCCCACACAUUUUUUCCGUGGCACAGAGGGCCUACUGGCGCAUGCUUAUGCAACGGCAGGAUCAGACCAUCAUGCCCUUGGGCAGGAACAAUUCUGGCAAGACCACCUGCUGCCAGAACACCCUGGAAUACCUAGUGGCCACUGUGGGGAGCAUGGACAACCGAGUCACAGUGGAGAAAAUCCAGGCCAUGUUCAGGGUGCUGAGAGCCUUUGGGACAGUGACGACCAGCCACAACAAAGCCUCCACCCGCUUCUCCAUGGUCAUGGCACUGGAUUUCAGCGCCACUGGCCACAUCACAGCUGCUCAUCUCCAGACAAUGCUGCUGGAAAGGAUCCGUGUGGUGCAGCAGCCAGAGGGAGAGAGCACCUUCAAUGUCUUUUCUCAGAUGCUUGCAGGGCUGGAUCUGGAUCAGAGGACUAUGCUGCAUUUGCAUCAGAUGGCGGAGAACAGCACCUUUGGCAUCAGACCGUGUCAGAAGGCUGAAGAGAAGCAGAAGGCCUCAGCUGCAUUUGCUCAGCUCCAGGCUGCCAUGGAGAUCCUGGGAAUUGUGGUGGAGGAGCAGAAGGCCAUCUGGCGAGUUUUGGCCGCCAUCUACCACCUGGGUGCUGCAGGGGCUUGCAAAGUUGGCAGGAAGCAGUUCAUGCAGUUUGAGUGGGCCAACAAGGCAGCGGAAGUCCUUGGCUGCGAUUUUGAGGAGCUCACAACAGCCGUCUUCAAGCACCACCUCCAGAGGAUUAUUGAGCAGGUCACGUCUGGAGCCGGAGGACAGCUCAGCCAGGACCAAGGCUGGUCGGAUGGUCCCAAGAUGACAGGUGUGGAGUGCGUGGAAGGGAUGGCUGCGGGGCUCUAUGAGGAGCUGUUUGCAGCUGUUGUGUCGCUCAUCAACAGGUCCUUCUCUUCAAGUUCCCUCUCCAUGGCCUCGAUCAUGGUGGUGGACACGCCUGGCUUCCACAACCCCCGGCACCAGAAGAGAGAGCGUGCAGCGACUUUUGAGGAGUUCUGUCACAACUAUACACAGGAGCGGCUGCAGGGCCUCUUCUACAAGAGAACCUUUGUGUCUACACUGGAGAGGUACCAGGAGGAAAAUAUUGAGGUGCCAUUUGAUCUCCCCGAAGUCUCCCCAGCAACCACAGUAGCCAUUGCAGAUCAAAACUCAUCCCAGGUCCAUGCCACCCCUGGGGGCCAGGCAGAAGACCCCAAGGGCCUGUUCUGGAUUCUGGAUGAGGAGGCCUUGAUCCAAGGCUCCAGUGACAGCACUGCGCUCAACCGUCUGUGCUCUUACUUUGUGAAGGAGGGUCCGAUCAAUGAAGGACAGGGAUCCCUGCGCAAGUGUGAGCAGGCCCUGCAGUUCGAGAUUGCCCACCAGCUCGGCCAAGACCCCGUCCGCUAUGAUGCCACUGGCUGGGUAAACAAAGCCAAGUGGAACCUCUCAGUGCAGAAUGCCAUCCAAGUCCUGCAGGAGUCGAAAAUAGACCCUCUGAAGAAACUGUUUCUGUUGCGGUCCAAAGUGCCCCUGAUAUGCCGGUCUGUUGCGGGGCUGGAGGGGAACUCCCAGCAAGCACUGCAGCGAGUUGGCUGUGUGAGGAAGACUUUCACUAGCAGCUUUGCAGCUGUGAAGAAGAAGUCUGUGUGUGCUCAGAUCAAGCUUCAGCUGGAUUCUCUCAUCAACCUAGUGAAGAGAUCCCAGAUUCACUUUGUCCAUUGCCUCAUUGCGAGAACAGAAAUGGACAGAGAAGGAGGCACCGUUCUGCAGUCCUGUCUGAUGGCAGGGGGAACAGCAGCAGGAUGGGACAUCUCCGCCCUUCGAGCCCAGCUCUCCGGGGGCCAGAUAUUGGAUGCAUUACGGCUCAGCAGGAUAGGGUACGCAGAUCGUAUGGUGCGCAUGCAGUUCCGACACCAGUUCCAGAUCCUGGCUCAGCCAAUGAUGAAAAAAUACAGCUCAGCCUAUGAGAUGACAGAUGAAAAUAAGGCUCUGGAGGAGCUCAUCCAGGCCCUCAGUUUGGAGAAGACAAUUGCUGUGGGUCGCACUCAGGUGUUCCUGAAAGCUGGAGUCCUCUCUAGGCUAGAAAAGCAGAGGGAAAAACUGGUGUCUCAGAAUCUGAUUUUCCUCCAAGCAGCUUGCAAGGGGUUUCUCUCCCGUCAGAAAUAUAAGAAAUUAAAGAUUCAGCGUUUGGCUGCUCGGUGCAUCCAGAAGAACUUGGCCAUCUUCCAAGCUGUGAAGGGCUGGCCCUGGUGGCAACUGAUGUGUGGCAUCCGGCCACUGUUGAGCACCAGCCUUGCAGAAGGUCAGCUCCGAGUCAGAGAGGAGGAGUUGGCAUUGCUGCGAAAGAAAUUGGAAAAUUCAGAACUUUCACGGCAGGAGCUUCGGCAGAGCACAGAACAGCUGGAAAGCAAGAUCAUAGACCUCACGACGGAGCUGUCAGAUGAACGCUUGAAAGGUGAUGUUGCCUGUCAGAUCCUGGAAGGUGAACGAGCUGAAAGACUGAGAGGGUCAAGAGAGGUCAAAGAGCUGCAGACCAAGCAUGACCAACUGCAGAAGAAGCUGGAGUCGGCAGAGAAGCAGCUGGAAGAGGCACAGCAGCAGCUUCAUUUGCACGAAACUGGGGCAAGCAGCUCUGGCAAAGGAGAUGAAUGGCAGAUGCGCCUGGACUGUGCACAGACUGAGAUUGGAUUUCUCCGGAAAAGAAUCACACAGCUGGAGGAAAGGCUGGAGGCGGAGCAGACAUCCAAAAAGGAGCUGGAACAAAAGCUAGGUGAGGCCCAGAAGGCGUAUGAAGGUGCCAGGCGGACAGCGCAGUGGCUGAAAAGAAAGUGUAAGCAGCUGACGUGUGAUUUGGGAGAUACACGAGUGUUGAUGGAAAGCCAGCAAAGCCGGAACCAUGAGCUGGAGAAGAAGCAGAAGAAAUUUGACCUGCAGCUGGCUCAGGCCUUGGGAGAAUCCGCCUUCGAGAAGAGCCUUCGGGAGAAAGUGUUACAAGAGAGCACCAGCCUUCAGUUUGAGCUGGGGAAGUUGCAGCGGAGCUUAGAGCAAAAAGAAUUGGACAAUGCCAGCCUCAACCAGCGGCUUGUGCUGUUGAGCAGCCAGGUGCAGGAGCUCAGCGCCCCCAAGGACCUGGAUGCCAACUCGCUGGCUGCCCUCCAGAAGAAACUUUGGGACCUGGAGUCAAGAGCCUCUGAGCAGCAGAAGGAGCUGAGCUCCCAAGCAAGCACCAUUGAACAGCUGGAACAGCUUCACCUGAGACUCGAACUGGAAAUUGAGAGGAUGAAACAGCUUCACCAGAAGGAGCUGGAGGACAAGGAGGAAGAGCUGGAGGAUGUUCGGCAGUCCUGCCAGAAAAGGCUGCGUCAGCUGGAGAUGCAGUGUGAGCAGGAGGGCGAAGAGAAGCAGGCAAUUCUCUGUGAGAAGCGGGACCUGGAAGGGCUGAUUGCCACACUCUGUGAACAGAUUGGCCAUCGAGAUUUUGAUGUGGAGAAGCGACUCCGGCGUGACCUGAAGAGGACUCAUGCUCUGCUGGCUGACAUGCAGCUCCUGCUGGAGACCUCAGGGGCAGAUGCAGGGUCAUCUGGGGGCAGGGAGGAGCUGGAGAAGCUUCGUGGCAAGCUGGAAGAGAGCACAGCCAGAUGUGGAGAGGCUGAGAAGGCACAAAAGAUGCUAGCUCUGGAGCUCGAGAACCUGCACCUUGAGCUGGAGACGUUCAGCAGGAACAAGAACUUGGUUGAUGAGCAAUUAUACCAGCUCCAGCAUGAGAAAGCUGAUCUCCUCAAGCGCAUUGAUGAAGACCAGGAGGAUCUGAAUGAACUGAUGGCCAAGCACAAGGCCUUAAUUGCUCAGUCUGCAACAGAUAUCACCCAGAUCCGAGAGCUGCAGACCCAGUUGGAGGAGAUGAAGAAGGAAAAGCAUGGCCUGCAAGAAAAACUGCAGGUGUCCCAGGCCCGGGUUGUCUAUUUGGAGCAAUCAAUGGUGGAGAGGUCCAUCGUCAGCCGCCAGGAGGCCCUGAUUUGUGACCUGGAGAACAAGAUGGAGUUCCAGAGUGUGCAGAUCAAGCGCUUUGAGAUGCUGGUUCUCCGUCUUCGGGACAGUGUGAUCAAGAUGGGAGAGGAGCUGGAGAAGGCGAAGGAAGGGGAGGCACGGGAAAGAGAGAAGACCUGCUACUACCAGAUGAGGAUGGAAGAGAUGAAAGCAGACCUCAGUGAGCUGGCCCAGAGGGAGCUGGAGGCCAAUCACAGGCGGGUGGAACUGGAGAAGCAAGUGGACGAGCUCUCUGCAGUGAGGCAGACGUUGCAGGCAGACCUGGAGACCUCCAUCCGCCGCAUUGCGGACUUGCAGGUGGCUCUGGAAGAAGUGCAGUCAAGUGACGACAGUGAUAGGGAGAGUGUUCAGACUGCUCGAGAAUCGCUCAGCUCAAGAGGAGACACCGAGAGUCAGCUGAGUCUGGGGUCAACCAUGAGCUUGAACUUGGAACCUGAAGAAAGCGUCAAAUCGUGGUCCAGUUUGGCAUCGGCAUGGUCCUCUCCAUCCAGGCAAACCGUGGACAGCCGUGGUACCCAGAGCCUGAGGAUAAACAAGGAUCAAGAAACAAGCCAGCAGCUGUCUCCCUUAGGUGCAGAACGAAGGGGAUAUGGAAGGAGUGCAGGGGGUGCUGAUUUUGGCAAAGCUAAUCAAAGCCCUACCUUCGGUACCCAAAGAUCAGAUUAUGGGAAACCCAUUUCAAAUGAGGAGUUUUUCACUCUCCAAAAGUUAGGAGCUGUGUCUCCAUCCAUUACAAGAAGGAUGUCCUCUCCAGCAGUGGCAGAAGAGAUGUUAUCAAGUCCUUUGUCCCCUUCUGUGCUCAAAAGGGUGUCCCCUUCAGCAGAAGACAAGUUGUCACGCUCCUCCUCUGCACUUUCUGAAUAUGUUGAAGAGCUGCGAAGAAAAAGACUGAAGGACAAAGAGCCCGGGAACUUAGUGUUAGAUGAUGCCUCCUCUUUGCCUAUUUACCAAACAACAGGAGCCUCAUCCCUUAGAAGAUGCAAGACUUUGAAGGAUGAUGAAGAUCUCCCAGUAACUCUGGAGGGAAUUGGUGAAAGUUCUCGAGCUGGCCUGGUCCGCUCCUCUAGUUUGAGGAGCAUAUCAUCUGAGAGCAUGGCACGGCCAAACCUCUCCCCAGCUCUGAAAAGGGUCUCCAAGUUUGGGUCCUAUGACUCUCUCAUUCAGAACAUAGAUGACACCUACUCAAAGCUCAGCUCCCCAGCCCUGAGUGGAGAAAUGUUCAGCACUUUGCGACUUAAACCAUGGAGAAGUUGCCUGGAGGCAUCCCUGGAAGAAACGACAGACACAGAUCUAGGAAAAGAACCUCUGGUCUUUCAGAACAGAAGAUUUGGUGAUGUUCCAAGUGAGGGAAAGGAAACUGAUCCACUCUCUUGGAAAAUACCAACUCUGAGCUAUGAGAGGAAAACGAAUGAUGACUCAGGUGACUUCCUUCCAGCCGUCCGGAAAGGCCAGUCAACCAGCAGCCUGGCCAGAGGUCCCAAAGAGAGGAGAGAAGGCCAGAGGCCCAUGAGUGUCCGUUUUGAAGACCAAGUCUCGCCCAACCACACUUUCCUCUCUGAGAUAAAGGCCACUUUAUCACCAAGUCCAAAACCCGAAGAGGACCCUGGAAACCUCUCUGACUCGUCUUCGUCUUCUGGCUCAGUUGUAUCUUUCAAAAGUGCUGACAGCAUCAAGAGUCGGCCAAGGAUCCCGAGGCUGGAAGGGGAAGGAUGCGUUGGGAAAAGAAGCCUGGAGGGCGCGAGAGAUGACUGGCGGUCUGAAGCCGAGGGGAAGGAAGAUGAUGUAAACAGUAUCAUGAUGAAAUACCUAGGAAAAGACUAAGGGGACCUGAGAUGGCUUUGAACAUUUGGCUUUUCUUGUGGAAGCGCACAUCUUGGAGCCAAGCUUUUGUCUGAAUCAUCACCAUCCAGGCAUCCUUGUCGGUUCCAGGCUCUGGCUUCCCCACCUGCUUUGGAGGCACCUGAGUUUCCUAACCCAACAAGGCACAACAACACAUGUGUAUGUAAGAGAAGCAGGCUGUGCUCUCUCUUUGAUUUAUACAAAAUAAAACAUUUUGCUUCUUGCAUCUGA